rnacentral:hammerhead_ribozyme from 1 species
GUCCUGACGAGUCCCAAAUAGGACGAAACGUGCGUCCUGGAU